rnacentral:rRNA from 1 species
UGGGGAAUAUUGCACAAUGGAGGGAACUCUGAUGCAGCGACGCCGAGUGAGUGAUGAAGGAAUUCGUUUCGUAAAACUCUGUUCUAUGGGAAGAAAAGGACUGUACCAUAGGAGAAAGCUCCGGCUAAAUACGUGCCAGCAGCCGCGGUAAUACGUAUGGAGCGAGCGUUGUCCGGAAUUAUUGGGCGUAAAGGGUGCGCAGGCGGCUUUACAAGUUGGAUGUGAAAUAUUGUGGCUCAACCACAAGCGUGCAUCCAAAACUGCAAAGCUUGAGUUAAGGAGAGGUAAGUGGAAUUCCCGGUGUGUCAGUGGAAUGCGUAGAUAUCAGGAUGAAUACCGGUGGCGAAGGCGACUUACUGGACUUAAACUGACGCUCAGGCACGAAAGCGUGGGGAGCAAGCAGG